AACUUUACAUCAGGUAAGUAGCUAUCCACAUUGAAACAUCCAGAGAACUUUACAUCAGGUAAGUAGCGAUCCACAUUGAAACAUCCAGAGAACUUUACAUCAGGUAAGUAGCGAUCCACAUUGAAACAUCCAGAGAACUUUACAUCAGGUAAGUAGCGAUCCACAUUGAAACAUCCAGAGAACUUUACAUCAGGUAAGUAGCGAUCCACAUUGAAACAUCCAGAGAACUUUACAUCAGGUAAGUAGCGAUCCACAUUGAAACAUCCAGAGAACUUUACAUCAGGUAAGUAGCGAUCCACAUUGAAACAUCCAGAGAACUUUACAUCAGGUAAGUAGCUAUCCACAUUGAAACAUCCAGAGAACUUUACAUCAGGUAAGUAGCGAUCCACAUUGAAACAUCCAGAGAACUUUACAUCAGGUAAGUAGCGAUCCACAUUGAAACAUCCAGAGAACUUUACAUCAGGUAAGUAGCUAUCCACAUUGAAACAUCCAGAGAACUUUACAUCAGGUAAGUAGCGAUCCACAUUGAAACAUCCAGAGAACUUUACAUCAGGUAAGUAGCGAUCCACAUUGAAACAUCCAGAGAACUUUACAUCAGGUAAGUAGCUAUCCACAUUGAAACAUCCAGAGAACUUUACAUCAGGUAAGUAGCGAUCCACAUUGAAACAUCCAGAGAACUUUACAUCAGGUAAGUAGCGAUCCACAUUGAAACAUCCAGAGAACUUUACAUCAGGUAAGUAGCUAUCCACAUUGAAACAUCCAGAGAACUUUACAUCAGGUAAGUAGCGAUCCACAUUGAAAAAUCCAGAGAACUUUACAUCAGGUAAGUAGCGAUCCACAUUGAAAAAUCCAGAGAACUUUACAUCAGGUAAGUAGCGAUCCACAUUGAAAAAUCCAGAGAACUUUA